rnacentral:rRNA from 1 species
GACGAACGCUGGCGGCGUGCUUAACACAUGCAAGUCGAACGCUGAAGCUCAGCUUUUGUUGGGUGGAUGAGUGGCGAACGGGUGAGUAACACGUGAGUAACCUGCCCCCUUCUUUGGGAUAACGCCCGGAAACGGGUGCUAAUACUGGAUAUUCACUGGUCUUCGCGUGGGGGUUGGUGGAAAGGGUUUUUCUGGUGGGGGAUGGGCUCGCGGCCUAUCAGCUUGUUGGUGGGGUGAUGGCCUACCAAGGCUUUGACGGGUAGCCGGCCUGAGAGGGUGACCGGUCACAUUGGGACUGAGAUACGGCCCAGACUCCUACGGGAGGCAGCAGUGGGGAAUAUUGCACAAUGGGCGCAAGCCUGAUGCAGCGACGCCGCGUGAGGGAUGGAGGCCUUCGGGUUGUGAACCUCUUUCGCUCAUGGUCAAGCCGCAACAAUGGUUGUGGUGAGGGUAGUGGGUAAAGAAGCGCCGGCUAACUACGUG